rnacentral:rRNA from 1 species
GACGAACGCUGGCGGCGUGCCUAAUACAUGCAAGUCGAGCGAAGUUUUUCUGGUGCUUGCACUAGAAAAACUUAGCGGCGAACGGGUGAGUAACACGUAAAGAACCUGCCUCAUAGACUGGGACAACUAUUGGAAACGAUAGCUAAUACCGGAUAACAAUAUUUUUCGCAUGAAAGAUACUUAAAAGUUGGUUAUGCUAACACUAUGAGAUGGCUUUGCGGUGCAUUAGCUAGUUGGUGGGGUAAAGGCCUACCAAGGCGACGAUGCAUAGCCGACCUGAGAGGGUGAUCGGCCACACUGGGACUGAGACACGGCCCAGACUCCUACGGGAGGCAGCAGUAGGGAAUCUUCCGCAAUGGGCGAAAGCCUGACGGAGCAACGCCGCGUGAGUGAAGAAGGAUUUCGGUUCGUAAAGCUCUGUUGUUAGGGAAGAAUGGAUAUGUAGUAACUAUAC